AGUGAACGCUGGCGGUAGGCCUAACACAUGCAAGUCGAACGGCAGCACAGUAAGAGCUUGCUCUUACGGGUGGCGAGUGGCGGACGGGUGAGGAAUACAUCGGAAUCUACUUUUUCGUGGGGGAUAACGUAGGGAAACUUACGCUAAUACCGCAUACGACCUACGGGUGAAAGCAGGGGAUCUUCGGACCUUGCGCGAUUGAAUGAGCCGAUGUCGGAUUAGCUAGUGGGCGGGGUAAAGGCCCACCAAGGCGACGAUCCGUAGCUGGUCUGAGAGGAUGGUCAGCCACACUGGAACUGAGACACGGUCCAGACUCCUACGGGAGGCAGCAGUGGGGAAUAUUGGACAAUGGGCGCAAGCCUGAUCCAGCCAUACCGCGUGGGUGAAGAAGGCCUUCGGGUUGUAAAGCCCUUUUGUUGGGAAAGAAAAGCAGCAGGUUAAUACCCCGCUGUUCUGACGGUACCCAAAGAAUAAGCACCGGCUAACUUCGUG
rnacentral:rRNA from 1 species